GUCACUUUGCCGGAGUGGUUAACGGGAUCGCCUGCUAUUUCUAGCUACCAGCGGUUGUGCUUUGCACGCGAGUGUUCGAAUCGCUCAGGUGACG
rnacentral:tRNA from 1 species